GACAUAGCUCAGCGGUAGAGCAGUAGACUGUUAAUCUAUUGGUCCCUGGUUCGAUCCCAGGUG
rnacentral:tRNA from 1 species